GAGGCUUUAGCUUAAUUAAAGUGUCUGAUUUGCAGUCAGAAGAUGUAAGUUAAAAUUUUACAUGCCUU
rnacentral:tRNA from 1 species